rnacentral:RNase_P_RNA from 1 species
GUUUGUGCAUCUAACAUUAACAUGGGGGUCAGUGGGUCAUUCUCGGGGUACAUUGUUGCUCAAUCCAACCCUCGGGAAGGUCUGAGACGAGGCUAUAAGUAUUUCUUUGUUGGAGAGAGAGUCUAAUCUGCGGGUUGUGGUUUGCCUUCAUAGGCUUAUUGCAAAACUCAAUUCAGACUAAUCUGCAGAAAGC